CCACAAAAACGUAACAUGGGAAGAGUGUUGAACUCCCACGUUUGUAGUCAGGAGAGAAGGUUUCCCCAUGCACAGUGUGUAUCUAGCCACACACACAGCUCUGGAUUCAGGAUCCAGUUCGCAGUGCUACAGGCAGAGCCCUGCUCUCUCCUGCACACAGUGCUGGACUUGUCGAGUCAUCAGCAAAAUAGGGAAAUCUGAAGGAUUCCUACAGCUGACACCGGGGAAUCCCUUUCAGAGCCUCUGGCUUCAGCAAAGGGGGAACAUCCCUUGGACAAAAGCAAUUGCAUCUGCACAGUGGAAACGGCAAUGGGGUGAAGAUCAUUCAUGGUUAGAAAUACUUGUUUGCAAGAGCAGUGGGAGAACAGAGGCUGUCCUACGAGUCAGAAACAUUCCCAGUUUUCUCCAUACAAAAACUGCCAUGCUGACAGGCAGCCAUACAGCCUUCCCCAGGAGGUCAGUGUUUAGUUUCCCCACAACCACAGAAUCGUGCUUCUAUCCCAUUGAGCCACCAGCCCUCCCUGCUUUGGCCUGUGCAGAACAACAGAGAGCUCUGCAGUCAGAAGCCAGAUGUUCUUCACUGCUGCUGAUCCAGAAUGUCUAUAGGCACCACUGCGGAACUCCAAGAUCUCCAAAAAACCAGCUGCUAUGGCAGGUACAUUCGCUUGCAGCUGGCUUUACCUAACAUGCAAGAACGCAGACACCACAGUGCAGCUGUACCGGGGCCGCAAGUAUCAACACUUUCAUCUCCAAAAUGAAUUAGAAAUCAAGGGCUGAACAUUUCUUCCCUGCUCAUUUCCCACCCCCCAAACCCCAAAAGUUUAAACAACUAACUCUCUUAGCAGCCCAUCUCUCACCUAGUUAUGUUGUUUACUCCAGUGACGGACAGUAAUUCUUUUUUCGCUUAGUCUUUUGCCAAUAAUCUUACUUUCCUAUGCAAAGACCUAUCCUAAAAUGGCCUAUGAACUCAAGACAACUUAAUGACUAAUUGGAAGAGAGUUGGGAUUCUUCCCCUCCCUCUUGCCUCCCCACCAGCGUGCUCGUGUAAUGUUUUGCUAAGAAAGAUACCUCAAACUUCCAAAGUAGCGACUACUGACAUUAUCAGCGCUGCACAGCAGCGGGAGCAGGGGAACCAGCCGAGGCACAGGGCUGGAAUGGCCACAGGCCAGAAAAAUGCCACACCGCAGACUCCUCGGGGUUCUUCCUUUGGGCCCGGUUAAUUCAUUUGAACACAAAAGCGUGCAAAGAAAUGCAAAUGUAUUCCACUAACUCAAAUAGGCAGCAAAAGACUCUGAGGCUUUUCUCUUUCAGCUCCCGUCUCUGCCUGGAGAAAAAUGCCCAUAUUCCUUUCUUAAGGCCCUUUGACGAGGCUUUUAAGGAUGGCAAACAGUGCUGGUAUUUGAUUGCCGCUGGGUGCUGCAUUCUCCCAGCCCGCAUUCCACUCUUCCAGCAGCCCAUCACGUUCACAAACAGAAACUCUUCCGAUCAGGUUACAGUGGCUUCAGAGAGUCCCGUGCACGCAGAGAACUGCUGAUGAAGCAUUUUGUACCUCCUAGAUGUAAGUUUUGGGAGAAGCCUCUUUGCUGACAUAGGGCGCUACAACCAGUGAAUCACGACACAACCCAUUUACAUGGAUUCCAGCACCGCGCUCCACUGCCCCAUUUCUUCAGCACCUAAACUGAGCUCCUGGCAGGCAAACAGAGCCACAAAGUAUUUGAGGUAAAGCAGCACUUUGGGAACCAAGAGGUUGGGGCUGAUGAACACUCCUUGGUGACUUUCCAGGAGUCCCGCUGUGAAGGUUUUUUUCCACUUGCUACUAGAUCCAUAGAGGAAAGAAACAAUUUAAAAGCCCAAUCUAAAUUCAGCGGCAGGAGGCAGCUUUUAAUUGCACUUUGGAUCAAUAAAGAAGCAAUUUAACACUU